rnacentral:rRNA from 1 species
UACAGAGGUCUCAAGCGUUGUUCGGAUUCAUUGGGCGUAAAGGGUGUGUAGGUGGCGCGCUAAGUCGGGUGUGAAAUUUCGGAGCUUAACUCCGAAACUGCAUUCGAUACUGGCGUGCUUGAGGACUGGAGAGGAGACUGGAAUUCAUGGUGUAACAGUGAAAUGCGUAGAGAUCAUGAGGAAGACCAGUGGCGAAGGCGGGUCUCUGGCCCGAUACUGACGCUGAGGUGCGAAAGCGUGGGGAGCAAACAGG